GGAACCCGGCCGACAGAAGAUGGCGGAUGAGCAGCGUGCAGGGUUUUCUCCCUGUGGCUCACUCUCUCUUACUGUGCUGGGCGGUUGCUUCCUCUCCUGCUGCCCUUGGGAGUCAGACUCCAGGUUCUUCAGCCUGUGGCCCCUGGGGCUCUCGGGCCUUGGAGGACUGACUAGGAGCACACGGUGGGCCUCUCUGGUUUGGGGGCCUGGGACGUGGCGGAGCCCUGCAGCUUCUGUGCGGCCUGUUCUGGGCGUCGCGUUGAAACGCCAGCCAGUUCCCCAAUCCCCCUGGGAUUACAGGAGUGUUGAAGAAAUGUUGUGACACAUCAGAACACCGCGAAAUACAUGGACACUUUCAAAUCAUGGAAGACUCAAGAGUCCUUGUUUUUGCCCAGUAUUAUAAACUGAGUUACAUAAAGGCAGAGCAAAUGCUAAAGCAAACUGUCCAGAAGGAAGGACAGCAGUAAGUGGAGAGACGUUAUUGCAAACAAGCACCUGGCAACAGCUGUGUUAGUUGGGUCAGGAGGGCAUCUUUCUCGGCUCUUCACUGUGAGAACCUUGUGGGAUUCCUGAAGAUGAAACCAUGAACGCGAGGGAGUCUUGCUAAAACUGCAGCAUUCGAGAGGUUUUCACUCAUGCUGGCUCACACUUGUCCUCUAGCAAUUCAUCAAAAUUACCACGUAAGUGUUUCAACAGUUUAUGGCUCAGGUGGCCUCAGCUGUGAUGCUCCAAAUUUGCCUGUUUCUCCAGAUGCAGGGUAGCAGUUUGCUGUUUCUCCUGAGUUCUUUGAUGGAUUCAAGAAAAGUCAUGAUUUUCAGUUUGUUCUGAUUUUUUCUUGUGAGGGCAAAGUAAUGACUAAGCUUUAAUGUGUUUCAGCUAAAACUACAUGUAUUUUAAUAGCAAAAUGAGAUAUAAUUCACAUGUCAUAAAAGUCACCAUUUUUGGGUGCACAACUCAUUGGAUUUUAGUAUAUUCCAGGGUUAUGCAAGAAUAAAUAUUCUCUAAUUUUGGAACAUAUUUAUCUACUCAGAAAGAAACUUUGUGCUCAUUAACAGUUACUUAAUAUUCUCUCUCCCCUAACCUAUGGUAACUACUAGUCGACUUGCUAUAGAUUAGGUUACUUUGGAUAUUUCAUAUAUGUUGAAUCAUAAAAUAUGUGCCUUGGCUUCUUUCACUUACCGUAAUAUUUACAAAAUUCAUUCAUCUUACAAAGUACUUCAUUCUAUUUUUGAUUUUAUGGGUUAAUAAUAUUCUACUGUCUGGCUAUAUACAUGUAUGAAUAAUGUGGCAACAUUUUGUCCAUACACUCAUCAUGUGAUUAGUAUUUGCUUUGUUGUUGUUGUGUGUUUUUUAUUUUUCAGUUAUUAUGAAUAAUGAUUAUGAAUUCAGUUAUUAUGAAUAACUACAAUAAAUAGUUAUGCAUAA
rnacentral:lncRNA from 1 species